AGGGCCAUCUGAGGGGAGGACAUGGCUGUCAGCUGGGAAGAGUGAAAUGGGCAAAGACUGCGUCACGGCUGGAAGGGAUCGUGGCAAGGGCACAGGCAGCAGGAAAGCUGGAAGUGAAACCCACAGGUUCUGUGGCUCUGCAGUGCCCUCUCUAGGAUGCUUUUGUGGAUGUGCAGUGGCUCAAGGUGCAGCAGACCCUCAUCAGAGCUGACAACAUGUCCAGCCUGCACUACUGCAAGAACUUCUUUGUCUAUGGUAGUGUGGUCAACUGAAGAAGCCGGCUUAGUUGCUCCAGUCAGGUGCUCACACUAAGAAAGGAUGGGUGAAGGUUAUAAAGUGGCUGUGAAUGAGAACUCGGUCUGGGCUCUACCAAGCAGAGAAGCCAUGCAGAGAUGAGAAAGGUGAAAGCCAUGAAACCAUGUUAAGCAGAAAAAUAAAAAUUCAAAACAGAA
rnacentral:lncRNA from 1 species